rnacentral:rRNA from 1 species
UACGUAGGUGGCGAGCGUUGUCCGGAAUUACUGGGUGUAAAGGGCGUGUAGGCGGGGAGCCAAGUCAGAUGUGAAAUCCCGUGGCUUAACUGCGGAAUUGCAUCUGAAACUGGUUUUCUUGAGUAUCGGAGAGGAAAGCGGAAUUCCCAGUGUAGCGGUGAAAUGCGUAGAGAUUGGGAGGAACACCGGUGGCGAAGGCGGCUUUCUGGCCGAAGACUGACGCUGAGGCGCGAAAGCGUGGGUAGCGAACAGGAUUAGAUACCCUGGUAGUCCACGCCGUAAACGAUGGAUACUAGGUGUAGGAGGUAACGACCCCUUCUGUGCCGUAGUUAACACACUAAGUAUCCCACCUGGGGAGUACGGCCGCAAGGCUGAAACUCAAAGGAAUUGACGGGGGCCCGCACAAGCAGUGGAGUAUGUGGUUUAAUUCGAAGCAACGCGAAGAACCUUACCAGGGCUUGACAUCCCUCUGACGGGUAUAGAGAUAUACUGUCCUUUUGGGGCAGAGGAGACAGGUGGUGCAUGGUU